GGUAACGUGGCCGAGUUGGUCUAAGGCGCUAGUCUCAGGUUUAAUACCUCGUUUACUAGUCUCUUCGGGGGCGUGAGUUCGAAUCUCACCGUUGCCA